GGAGGAGUUUGACUUUAGCUCUGUGGGCAAUACCUCCAUGGCCAGCAUUCAGAUUAUCCCUAAAAUAACGGUGGACUCGCUAGAUUUUGAAAUGAAACUGAAGCAGUCGGCUACCCUGCCCCAGAACCACUGGCUCAGUCUGCCUGUGGAUGACCUGGAGAACUCUUACACGGUCACCAUCACCCAGAACCAUUCACCACAUCAACAAGACAUCAAGAGCCCAAACCCCUCAGAGUGCUCCCACCACACCAACCAAUUAUCCAAUCGGUCUCGAGACCAGCCCACACAGACGGAGGUACACACCAGUCCUCAGAGCAGAGGGGCACAGCCCAGUGACAGUAUCCUAUAGGCACAGGACAGCUUUGAGGAGUCAGAACUGAGCCCCACUUGUAAUUCCCUCUCCAGCACCAUCACAGAUGCAGGAGACGUGCCCAACUACACUGCAGAGAGCAUUCCCACUCUUCCCUGGGAUACGUAUGACUUCCAUAACCCGAAACGGGACACCUGUGAAAGGAUUACAAGCUCCAUGUGUAACGGAUCUCAUCCUCCUCUUCUGAGGAGGAGUAGCGAGAAGGAUCGGAGGACCAAUGCGCAGCGUGGUGGAAGAGAAUGUGAUGGCACAGGAGCAGAUGUGGAAUGUUCUUCUGAAUACUGGGAGCUCAAGCAAAGUGUGGGCGUCAUGGGGCAGCGAGGAGCAGACACGUUUGAUGUCCUCCAGUGAUUUAAAAGCGGCGGGUGUCCUGGGUCUUGAUGACAGUCUUGACUCUGCCGACACUGACAACCAUAGUGAAUGCCGGUCAUCAGAGGCAGCCAGUGAAACUGAGGCAUCAGAAUGCAGCAUGAGCCACAAUGGAAGGCCAAUGGAGAAUGGGCCGACGGGGUUGAGGCCCCCUCAGACCAACAGGGGACAGUUCCUGAAGGAGCUUAAAGGACUGCACGUUCUCGAUUAGCUCAUCAUGGAGGAGAACCUCAAGAUCCACAAGCUCAGACAAGCUGAGAACGAGAGCCUUGAUGAAAAGCCCCCUCAAUCGACGGGCUCCCGAAGUACGUGCAAGGAGAGGCAGGCGUUUCUAUUCGAACUAGAAAGAGAGAAAAGGGAAGUGGAGAGGAUGGAAAUGAACCUAGCUAAAGAGAUGACUAAAAGAUGUCAACUCACAAAGAGGAUAAGCAGAACCAAGAAAGUAGUGAAAUGCUCUAUAAUGGACAGGACUUCUAAACUGAAUAACUUGGAGGUUGGUGCUCUCUGCGAUGAUCUUAUAUCAGACCAUAGAAGCCUCAACGUAAAGCACUUGCCAACCCUGCCCAAACACACCAUAAACCUUGAUCCUAAUGAAUCCCUUGUUAUUACUGCAACCUUUUCAACCAUAAUGCCUGUAUCACAAGACUUUGUUCAAAGUGUAAAUGGUCAGUAUCCACAUGCGGACUCUAGUAUAUCUGGCUGUGGUGAUGGCGUGGUAGAAGUAGAUGCUCCCAGCCACAGUGAGUUUAUGGAGCACAGAGCAUCACAACCAGUCUUAACUCUACCACAAAGCUAUUCUGAUCCCAGUGAAUGUGUUGAAGAGGUUGGAAUCCAACUCCAAGAGAGUACAGAUGAGGAAGGCUUAGAUUUCAGAUUGGUGUACGACUUGCAAUUUCCCCAAGAGGCCACCUUGACACCUGAAAUGUGCCCAGAACAUGGAGUAUUUGACCCGAGUUGGAAUUAUAACAAACCCCCCCCCCAGUGCCUAAACCAAGAAAGGCAUCACUUCCUGUGAAUGACAAAGGGCUAGAACUCAUCAUCUCAAUGGAAACCAUGUAUUUAACCCUCUGCCCUGAUAGUGAUUCAGACCCUAACCCCAGACUCGCACCAGAAGUCAUGCCAGAGUUCAGCACUCUUCCGAAGCCUAAAGGGCGAAGCCUCAAACCUGUGAAGGACCACAGCAAUAUCCACAACAACAAACCCCUCGCAGCUCAACAGGCAUCAUUAUGCAAUUAACCCUUUGGAGUCCCGUGAGCAGUCCUCUCUUGACAAUUCCUCUGUUGAAUCAACAUUAACACCUGUUGACUCUGCCGGUGUUCAGAUAGAAAUCCAGACAGAAAUCCAACCUUUCCCAGAAAUCUGAGGAUAUUUCAAUGGCACAUUCUGGGUUUAAUUCUGAAGAGCUACCUCGUAUGUUUGCUGAAGCGAUAUCUGGAUCAUGUGAACCAAGCGGAGCUGAUGAGUGGAGAGAAGUAGAGCCCUGAUGGGUUUCAGAGGUGUAGGACUGCAAGGAGGGCCAUCUCUAGGUCACCUGUCAAUCAACCCAAUGUCCAAAUAACCACCAGAGACAUAAGGAUUAGUAGUUGUUUGGAAAGACAUUCACGUUAUUCACAAUUUGAAUAUUAUACGGUCUUUCAGUUAAAUGGGAAUGAUUAUAUCUCUCUGAACUUGUAUUUACAGAUGACCAAUUUCAAUACUCCAACAGUGCUGGACACAGGAUCUGAUUUGAUGAAAGCAGGGUUUGCUGAUCAGGACCUCCCAAAUACUAUAUUUCCAAAUAUCAUUGGGCUGCCUAAAUAUGAGGAAAUAAUGAAUGGCAACUUUGAACGGGAGACUUUCAUUGGACAUGAGGCUCAACACAUGAGAGGAGUCCUGGUACUGAAGUAUCCCAUGAAAAACGGAAUUAUAAGCAACUGGGAGGAAAUGGAGAAGGGUUGUCUACUGUUGACAUAAUUCUAUCCCAUUGAUGUUCUGAUGAAGCUGUAGUACCUGGCGGUUUAUAGGAUUUAAACCUCACUGGUCUCGCUUCAGAUUUGGCACCACACGUUCCAGCAAGCUGCAGGUCGAUCCAGACGACCACCCUGUCCUAUUGACCGAGGCAGCCAUGAACCCGCUGGAGAACCGCCAGCGCAUGAUGGAACUUAUGUUUGACUGCUUUACCGUUCCCCUCGCCUAUGUGACCAUGCAGGCAGUGCUGGCACUCUACGCAGCAGGGAGGUCCACAGGCAAACUAACUUUUAUCUACUCUGUUGAUGUGUAGUGUUUGACUCUGGGGAUGGAGUGAGUCAUAGGGUGCCAGUGUUUGAGGGAUACUGUCUACCUCACGCAGUGGCUGGCCAUGAUGUUACAAUGCACCUUAAAAUGGAGCAGGGAGUGUGCAUGCACACUUUUACCAAGAUGGAGAUUGUGAGAGAGAUAAAAGAGAAAUGCUGCCAGGUGGCCCGGGACUAUGAAUCGGAGUUAACCUGUGGGCUGUCGGCUAGCAGUGAUGUAUUACAUCAUGCCUGAUGGACAAGUCGUCCACCUCAGCACAGAGCGGUCCAGUGUAAGCCAGAUCUGAUUGGACGAGACCAUUACGGGAUGCAUGAGAGUAUUUUUGAGUGUGUGCGUGUGACCAGCCUUAAGGACGGAGGUGUAUCUGUUUGGAGUGGAGGUGCAGUGCUAGCUAACUUAUCAUCCUUUGACUUCACCUGGAUCAGCCAAGAGGAAUAUGAGGAACAUGGCCCACAGAUCGUCUUCAGGAAGUGCUUCUGAGCUGGACUCAUCAUCUGGACUGGAU